UACGUAGGGGGCAAGCGUUGUCCGGAAUCAUUGGGCGUAAAGCGCGUGUAGACGGUUCGGUAAGUCCGCUGUGAAAGUCGGGGGCUCAACCCUCGAAUGCCGGUGGAUACUGUCGAACUAGAGUGCGGAAGAGGCGAGUGGAAUUCCUGGUGUAGCGGUGAAAUGCGCAGAUAUCAGGAGGAACACCGGUGGCGAAGGCGGUUCUCUGGGCCUUACCUGACGCUGAGGAGCGAAAAGCAUGGGGAGCAAACAGG
rnacentral:rRNA from 1 species